rnacentral:lncRNA from 1 species
UUUUAUUUUAGAAAAAAAAAAUAACAGAACAAAAAUCGAAGAAAAUGAAGAGCGAGAGAUUCUAGAGGAUAGAGGCCCGAACAGAAACAGAGAAAUCUGUAGAAAGAGAUGGCUCAGAUCAGGCAUGCCUUCAAAUCGGAAUGGACAGAACACCACAACACCAUGGCUGCAACAACAAAAGGUUGCCCCGCCAAGAAAUUGAGUAUUUCUCCUCUAGUCUGACUUUUCAGGCUCACUAAAUAUAUCAUCACAGGACCCACACACACCAGGAAGAGAGCAGAGAUAUGGUAUAAGAGCUGUUUGACACAUAAGAAACGUAAUCAGUAGUCACAGGCUCCGCUACCUAUCAGAGAGUUCCGAGUGAACCACCCUGAAACCAACUGCCCCUCACUGAGAGCAAAGCCUCGU